UACGGAGGGGGCUAGCGUUGUUCGGAAUUACUGGGCGUAAAGCGCGCGUAGGCGGCUUUGUAAGUUAGAGGUGAAAGCCCGGAGCUCAACUCCGGAAUUGCCUUUAAGACUGCAUCGCUAGAAUCAUGGAGAGGUUAGUGGAAUUCCGAGUGUAGAGGUGAAAUUCGUAGAUAUUCGGAAGAACACCAGUGGCGAAGGCGGCUCUCUGGUCCAUUUCUGACGCUGAGGUGCGAAAGCUAGGGGAGCAAACGGG
rnacentral:rRNA from 1 species